AAAUUCAGUUGCUGAAAAUGUAUUUAUAACAAAUCCACUUGUAAGUAAAUUGUAGCUAUGCAGUAUCAAAGAACUAAAAACAAUCAAUCGAUGGUUCGAUCGUAAUCUUCAGCAAACAAGUCGGUUGUUACAAUGUUUUUGUCUCAGCAAAUAUAUCACAACGAGCGCACUUUUUCGCUCCCACUCCUUUGCACAAACAUUCCAAAAUGGGAUGCUUCCUCAAACAAAGAGAGUCAAAGGAAUCCAAAACUUUCAGAAACAAAACAUUCAUGUAAUGAAUCCAGUCUUGUGACUGGCUUUGUUUUCAAGUUGAAGUCAUUUUGGGGAGGGGGGGAACUAGAUUUCCUGUUAAUGUCUCUUGUUGGCCCAUCUGCACGGAAGAAAAAUGCUUUGCUACAGAAGCAUUGAGCCAAAUUGAAUUCACCCCAUCCAAAUGUCUUAAAACCAACAACAACAAAACCA